GCGGGUGUAGUUCAAUGGUAGAAUCCAAGCCUUCCAAGCUUGUUGUGUGAGUUCGAUUCUCAUCACCCGCUCCA
rnacentral:tRNA from 1 species